UCGACGCUGCACUAGUAUUCGACAUGGGCACUUUAUGUCAAAGUGACAAGGAUUAAAUUUGAAUACAGAAAAAUCUUCGCCGUUCAAAUUUAACCUAUAUUACUUUGACAUAAAGUGCCCAUGUCGAAUACUAGUGCAGCGUCAAGCACUAGUACUUCUACCUUAUUUCUGUUACAAUAAUUUAAAUUUCAGCUGCAAACCAGAUUCAGGUCAGAUCUACACAUGCCAGAGUACCUCUGUCAACAUCAAACAGUGAAAAUGCACAAACUUCAGCUACUGCAUCUACGAGUACAGGCCAAGCUUGUCUGAAAUCUGGAAUAAGCAUUCGACCGGAUAAAGCGUCAAUACCAGCGAAACGCCCCCGCUUUGCUGACAAACAACCUGGCGGGUCUAGGGAUACUCUAGUUCUUGCUUCUGAUAAUCGAAAAACGCAGCGAGCAAAUCAAAAGACUAGAUUACAAUACAACGAAGAAAGAAUUGCUGAAGAAGCUCAUGAAAGUGAAAUCGAGUUUACUUUAUUAAGAGUCUGCCUAAUAGGUAGCUUAGGACUUUAACCAGAUAAAUUGUUUUUUAAAUCCAUCUUUAAAACAUGGUAUCUAAGAGAAUUUUAAAUAGAGAGUUACUGUCAUGGUAAAUUAUGUAAGUAGCUACAGUACUCUACAUUUACUGCCAUCUUUCGACAGAAGAUUAAACCUGUUAGA